rnacentral:misc_RNA from 1 species
GAGAUGCCAGCUGGUACCAAGGUAAGUUGGAAUGAAAAAAAAUUUAUGUAAUUAUGCAAGUGGAACUUAGUUUCACUGAAAGACUUUAGAAAAUUUACUUCAUAGCUUGACUAUAAGGUACAUGUUCUGCAGCUAUAAGAGUUGAUGGCUAUGUGAUUCUUUUAUGUCAUUCUUUGCAUUUGCUUCUACUCAACUCAACUCAACUAA